AGUAAAUAUAACUGAUCACAUCAAUGAAUCCUGCACUGUUUUUGUAACCUGGGAUGAUGUAAUGGACCCAGACAUUGAUGACACACUGGUUCCUGAAGAGAACACUCAUGAGAACGACUCAUCUGCGUACUUGGAUAGAACUGUUGGCUCCCCUGAUGUUAAUGACAAUAACGAACCAGAUCUAAAAACUGAAAACUUACUGAGCACUCUAGC